rnacentral:rRNA from 1 species
CCAAUAGCGUAUAUUAAAGUUGUUGCAGUUAAAAAGCUCGUAGUUGAAUUUCGGAAUCUGUCCAUCGGUCGGGCUUCACGGUCCGUACUGGUGUGGUGGGUUCUUACCUUCUGAAUAACCAGCAUGCCAUUCACUUGGUGCGUUGGGGAAGCAGGACUAUUACCUUGAAAAAAUUAGAGUGCUCAAAGCAGGCUAGUGCCUGAAUACAUUAGCAUGGAAUAAUAAAAUAGGACGGCAUGGUUCUAUUUUGUUGGUUUCUAGGAUCACCGUAAUGAUUAAUAGGGAUAGUUGGAGGCAUUAGUAUUCAAUUGUCAGAGGUGAAAUUCUUGGAUUUAUUGAAGACUAACUUCUGCGAAAGCAUUUGCCAAGGAUGUUUUCAUUAAUCAAGAACGAAAGUUAGGGGAUCGAAGACGAUCAGAUACCGUCGUAGUCUUAACCAUAAACUAUGCCGACUAGGGAUCGGACGAUGUUAAUUUUUUAAUGACUCGUUCGGCGCCUUACG